rnacentral:rRNA from 1 species
UACGAAGGGGGCUAGCGUUGUUCGGAAUUACUGGGCGUAAAGCGCCCGUAGGCGGCUUUGUGAGUUAGAGGUGAAAGCCCAGGGCUUAACCCUGGAAUUGCCUUUAAGACUGCAUCGCUAGAAUCGUGGAGAGGUGAGUGGAAUUCCGAGUGUAGAGGUGAAAUUCGUAGAUAUUCGGAAGAACACCAGUGGCGAAGGCGACUCACUGGACACGUAUUGACGCUGAGGUGCGAAAGCGUGGGGAGCAGACAGG